CCCUAGCCCUGAUGAUCGAAUUGCUCUCGCAAUUACCUUUUUCUGGCUUCUUUAGCCAGGAAAAGAUAAAGCGAACAGCAGGAAAUAGC
rnacentral:sRNA from 1 species